rnacentral:pre_miRNA from 1 species
AGGUGAAUCACCUGGUGAUCUUGUUGAAAUGCAGUUUCUAAUUCAGUCUAUCUAGGUUAGAGUUUCAAGUUUUGCAUAUAUAAUAAGCUCCCAAAUGAUGUCAAU